UUGGCCACUACACAUGACGUCUAAUCUAGCUGUAAUGCAACUGCAAGCGCUCAGCAGAGAUCUCCCUGCAGUUGGUAAUCGCUGGGUUAGUGACGCAGCGCACCCGGAACUCACCCAAACUCUCUUUCCUGACUUGGGUUUUGGUGGGGGAGGACAAUAACGGAGAACGGAGAAUCUGAUUGGCCUGUGGGUGCUCGCAGUGCAGCGAAUUGUUGUUUUUACCCAACGCGAACCUUCACUCCCCCUUCUCCCACCUUGUUCUUGAAUAAUGAGCAGCCCCGUGCCAGAGGAACAAGUUAACAAAGCUGUUCUCCGUUAUUGUCCUCCCCCACCAACGUCACGAGCUGCCGCACAAAGUUUUUUCAAGAGUUCACCGUGAUUGAUGAUAUUGUCUGGCAUCUCACGUCUCCUGCGUGUGUAAAUUCUAGAGUGACUUGUCCUGGCUGCAUCUGGGAGAGCAAGGGGGGGGGGUUAAGAACACUAGCAGCAGAAGAACCAAGUGCUACAGACCUGCACAGAUCAAAUUACAGACUUGUUGACUGCUGCACCGAAGGAUUUGAAUUUCCCGCCCACAAUGGCAAAGAAUUGUCUGUAACACCGGGCUAUGGACUUGCCUAAGGAAAAGUUGGUGGCUCAGUGACCCCCCAUCUGUCUCAGCACGGGGAGAUUAGUGGAGAUCAUCAUGUGGCCACUCCACAUGUGGUUCACCAAAGCGCAUUGUCAUUAGACUUGCCCAGGAAAAGUGCAGCUGAGAUUAAAAAGGAGAAAAAGGAGAUUAAAGGCUAAAUUAAAAUGCCUAAACAGAGCCUUACAGGAGAUCAAAGCUGUUAUCCAACUCUGCACCAGCGCCUAAGUGCUUCUUAAAGCACCCACAGUAACACCAGUUGUUUUUAUUUCCUAAUUACUCUAGUUACACUAUUUCCUUCUCUUCAUUCCACCUUCAGUUUUACCAGCAGCACCUCUUCUGAAGGCAGCCAGUUCCACCAGCGGUGCCCCAACCUUCUCUGCUGCAUUUCCAAAAGUGGCAUCCCAUCCUUCUCUACUGCAGUUCCACCAGUGGCGCCCCAUCCUUCUUUGCAUCAGUUCUACCAGUGGCACCCCAUCCUUCUCUGCCGCAGUUCCACCAAUGGAGCCCCAUUCUUUUCUGCUGCAGUUCCACCAGCGAUACCCCCUUUCUGCUGCAGUUCCAGUUGCAGUGGUACCCACCACCAAAAUAUGGUUUAAUACGCAGGAGCACCCUUGAGUCACUUGUCAGACCCUGCAUUGAUUUUCACUCCAUCUGUGAGACUGCAGAAGCUGGGGUCUGCAUGCUGCCUGGGGUUCAAAAGAAUAUAAUGCACAUCCACCUAGCAGCUUAUACUGUAUGCUUCCAUAUUUCCUUCUGUUUCCCUCAGCCUCAUUCACUUUAUUAAAUAUGAUGCAUUGAUCCUGGGAGCAAAUCCAAUUGCUUCCCUGUUGUGAAGCAAAUUGGCCCAAGCUUCUCAGGGGGUUUUCACCUUCCUCAGGAUAAAAAGCACAACUUAACUAAUUAUUAAUACAGCUGUGAAUUACACAAGUUAACCACUGUGUGUGUCAUUAUUCUGGAUAUUGGUCUCAUGUGGCAGGGGAGAGAGUGUGAGAAGUGACAAAAUGAUGACUACUUCAGUGCAUAGGGCUAUGGCAAUCUCCACUGAGCACCAAUAAACCGACUUACUUUAUUAGCACACAAAUCCAUUCUUUUUAUUAUUUAUAUGAAAUACUGCUGACUAGUUAUGGGGCAUCACAGCACAAUAAUUGGGCCCCUUAAAGUUACACAAUUUAUGUAAUUUAUGCAAACCCCACUGACCCCUAUUGCCACCUUUUCUGGGGAAAAAAUAAUGGCCUUCCUAUAUAUUUUUCUUUCUAUUACAUUAGCAGCAAGCAAGUGGCAACCCUAAUUGUCUGACUUAAAAACACAUUAAUGGGAGUAUUUAUAUGAACUAAUUAUAGAGUAACAUGAGCUGUUUAUAUUGGGAUACAUUUACUGAAUUAUAUGAGCAUCUCCAACAUGAACUUCAGUAGUAGAAUGACUUUGACCCACAGCCAGAUCAAGAGGACAAGCCAAAUAUUUUGGUAAUACAUGCUUGUGUUCAUGGGGGGGGAGAAGGGGGCAGACAAAUAACUUGUAUGGGUCCCCAAAGUUUCUCAUGGGGCUCAGGUUUAUCAUACACCAUUCAUGCAUUUUGAGAUCAAUAAAACAAGUUCUCCUAA